GAUGAACGCUGGCGGCGUGCCUAAUACAUGCAAGUCGAGCGAACGGACGAGAAGCUUGCUUCUCUGAUGUUAGCGGCGGACGGGUGAGUAACACGUGGAUAACCUACCUAUAAGACUGGGAUAACUUCGGGAAACCGGAGCUAAUACCGGAUAAUAUUUUGAACCGCAUGGUUCAAAAGUGAAAGACGGUCUUGCUGUCACUUAUAGAUGGAUCCGCGCUGCAUUAGCUAGUUGGUAAGGUAACGGCUUACCAAGGCAACGAUGCAUAGCCGACCUGAGAGGGUGAUCGGCCACACUGGAACUGAGACACGGUCCAGACUCCUACGGGAGGCAGCAGUAGGGAAUCUUCCGCAAUGGGCGAAAGCCUGACGGAGCAACGCCGCGUGAGUGAUGAAGGUCUUCGGAUCGUAAAACUCUGUUAUUAGGGAAGAACAGAUGUGGAAGUAACUGUGCACAUCUUGACGGUACCUAAUCAGAAAGCCACGGCUAACUACGUG
rnacentral:rRNA from 1 species